rnacentral:rRNA from 1 species
AGAGCGAACGCUGGCGGCAGGCCUAACACAUGCAAGUCGAGCGCCGUAGCAAUACGGAGCGGCAGACGGGAGAGUAACACGUGGGAACGUACCCUUUGGUUCGGAACAACCCAGGGAAACUUGGGCUAAUACCGAAUAAGCCCUUACGGGGAAAGAUUUAUCGCCGAAGGAUCGGCCCGCGUCUGAUUAGCUAGUUGGUGGGGUAACGGCCCACCAAGGCGACGAUCAGUAGCUGGUCUGAGAGGAUGAUCAGCCUCAUUGGGACUGAGACACGGCCCAAACUCCUACGGGAGGCAGCAGUGGGGAAUAUUGGACAAUGGGCGCAAGCCUGAUCCAGCCAUGCCGCGUGGGUGAUGAAGGCCCUAGGGUUGUAAAGCCCUUUCGGCGGGGAAGAUAAUGACGGUACCCGCAGAAGAAGCCCCGGCUAACUUCGCGCCAGCAGCCGC